GGGACACGUGGUAUCCUGUCUGAAUAUGGGGGGACCAUCCUCCAAGGCUAAAUACUCCUGACUGACCGAUAGUGAACCAGUACCGUGAGGGAAAGGCGAAAAGAACCCCGGCGAGGGGAGUGAAAAAGAACCUGAAACCGUGUACGUACAAGCAGUGGGAGCCUCUUAAUGGGGUGACUGCGUACCUUUUGUAUAAUGGGUCAGCGACUUAUAUUCUGUAGCAAGGUUAACCGAAUAGGGGAGCCGAAGGGAAACCGAGUCUUAACUGGGCGUUAAGUUGCAGGGUAUAGACCCGAAACCCGGUGAUCUAGCCAUGGGCAGGUUGAAGGUUGGGUAACACUAACUGGAGGACCGAACCGACUAAUGUUGAAAAAUUAGCGGAUGACUUGUGGCUGGGGGUGAAAGGCCAAUCAAACCGGGAGAUAGCUGGUUCUCCCCGAAAGCUAUUUAGGUAGCGCCUCGUGAAUUCAUCUCCGGGGGUAGAGCACUGUUUCGGCAAGGGGGUCAUCCCGACUUACCAACCCGAUGCAAACUGCGAAUACCGGAGAAUGUUAUCACGGGAGACACACGGCGGGUGCUAACGUCCGUCGUGAAGAGGGAAACAACCCAGACCGCCAGCUAAGGUCCCAAAGUCAUGGUUAAGUGGGAAACGAUGUGGGAAGGCCCAGACAGCCAGGAUGUUGGCUUAGAAGCAGCCAUCAUUUAAAGAAAGCGUAAUAGCUCACUGGUCGAGUCGGCCUGCGCGGAAGAUGUAACGGGGCUAAACCAUGCACCGAAGCUGCGGCAGCGACACUAUGUGUUGUUGGGUAGGGGA
rnacentral:rRNA from 1 species